rnacentral:rRNA from 1 species
CCUACGGGGGGCUGCAGUAGGGAAUAUUGCUCAAUGGGGGAAACCCUGAAGCAGCAACGCCGCGUGGAGGAUGAAGGUUUUCGGAUUGUAAACUCCUUUUGUUAGAGAAGAAAAUGACGGUAUCUAACGAAUAAGCACCGGCUAACUCCGUGCCAGCAGCCGCGGUAAUACGGAGGGUGCAAGCGUUACUCGGAAUCACUGGGCGUAAAGAGCGCGUAGGCGGGAUAGCAAGUCAGAUGUGAAAUCCUAGGGCUUAACCAUAGAACUGCAUUUGAAACUGUUAUUCUAGAGUAUGGGAGAGGUAGGUGGAAUUCUUGGUGUAGGGGUAAAAUCCGUAGAGAUCAAGAGGAAUACUCAUUGCGAAGGCGACCUGCUAGAACAUAACUGACGCUGAGGCGCGAAAGCGUGGGGAGCAAACAGGAUUAGAUACCCUUGUAGUC